UUUUUUCUUGCAACGAGAGUAGGAGUCGUGGAUGAGGUUUUUCGCUGCGUGCCUCGACCGGGGCUCGAACCCGGGACCUUUCACUUGCCGAACAAGCACUCUGCCAUCUGAGCCACGAAGACCUACGAUUACACAUCUAUAAUAUUUCCGAUAAGACAGAUACCGAUUACGAAUACAUACGAUGUUAAUCGAGAGCUUCUUUAGAUUUUUUAUGUACAUCAGCGGCAGUCUCAAAAUAGAUGUUAAUUAUCUUAUACAAAACUAGUUCUGUUGCGUAGAAUUUUGAAGUUUUAUUUCUCUCAUAUGUUCUUAAUAACACUAACGUACACAUCAAAUUUAUAAUUAUCGGUAAUUACUUUACAUUUUCUCCACUUUGCUGUGUAUAUAUUCUUUUUGUAUAACGUAAUAUUAUAUAAUGGAAGCUUAAUAGGACAUAGUUUUGACCUUAUAUCACAUUUUUUAUGAAUAUAAUAAUCAAACAAAUGUAAUAUUUAUUAUUCACGGUUUAUAUGUAUUAUAAUAAUCUAUUCAACUCAAAUAUGUGUAAUAUAUACCUAUAAUUAUAUAGCUAAAGUAUAAUUAUAAACAAAUGUAUUUGGAAGUAUUUCUCUCCUGUUUAAAUAAUUAUAUGAGUGAUAUGUUAAUGUCAUAUCUUUUUUGAUACAGAAAUUCGGAUAAACUUUUGUUAUGAUCCAUUGUAAAGUGUAGUGUACUCAAUAAACAUUUGUAAAGAUAACACGAAUCCAUAAAGCACAUAUAACUAG